rfam:Danio rerio chromosome 4, GRCz11 reference primary assembly.
GCAUUGGUGGUUCAGUGGUAGAAUUCUCGCCUGCCACGUGGGAGAUCUGCGUCUGAUUCCCGGCCAAUGCA